GGCAGGUGCUCGCUUGGUCUAGUGCCCAUUUACUCUGGACUCCGGAUGGCUGCCGCACGCCUCUGCCUCUCCCUGCUGCUCCUGUCCACCUGCGUGGCUCUGUUACUACAGCCACUGCUGGGUGCCCAGGGAGCCCCACUGGAGCCAGUGUACCCAGGGGACAAUGCCACACCAGAGCAGAUGGCCCAGUAUGCAGCUGAUCUCCGUAGAUACAUCAACAUGCUGACCAGGCCUAGGCCUAGACCAAUGUGCCCUGGGCAAGAUGGUGCCUACAGGCAGAUAUGAAACAGGUGGGCUGGCACCUGGGCACAGUGCUUGCCCCUGCUGCCUCUUCCCUCCCAGGUAUGGGAAAAGACACAAAGAGGACACGCUGGCCUUCUCGGAGUGGGGGUCCCCGCAUGCUGCUGUCCCCAGGGAGCUCAGCCCGCUGGACUUAUAAUGCCACCUUCUGUCUCCUACGACUCCAUGAGCAGCGCCAGCCCAGCUCUCCCCUCUGCACCCUUGGCUCUGGCCAAAGCUUGCUCCCUGCUCCCACACAGGCUCAAUAAAGCAAGUCAAAGCCA
rnacentral:lncRNA from 1 species